ACGCGGAGACGUCCCGGAGACGCGGCACCGACCUCCCCGAGCCGCAGGAGCGGUUCCCGGCUCCAGGACGACUUACCGGGCCGGGCGUGGACUGCGCAACCGGAACCACGCGAGCCCUCGGGGGACAGCGACUUAUUCUGCAAGAGGUAACAACUGACCUCCACCCCGCGACCUGGAGACCAGCAUAGACCCAGCGGGAUCCGACUCAGAGGCUCCCGCUGGCGCAGAAAGCAAACCAAAGGACAAGUGACCGGGACAGGUGGCCGGGAACCAAAGUUCGCCUCUAGCCGGAACCUUCGAGCACGGACCUGAUCCUCGCAGACAGUAUUCACAAGCGAGGGGGCCCAGUGACUUCUCUUGGCCGAGCACCUUAGAUGGCUUAGUUCCAAGAUCGUCCAACUCAGUCUCCCAAGUUAGAAUUAGAAAAUAUGUAUGGUUUCUCCUUAAUCAAACAAACAAUACCAUUGACAUUUUUGCUGGGUUCGUAUCCAUCUUUUCAAAGUAAUUUUGUAAGAAUCAGCAUCUUUAUACUAGGGAACCUUCAUGAAUAUGACCACAUAAGAAUAAAACAUUUCUCUCUGGCCAAAACAACCAAGUUAAACAAAUUGGCAAAGAAUAUUUGCAAACCACAAAUCAAUAAAAAGAAGACUAACAAGUCAAUAGAAAAAUAAGAACAGAAUAAGUGUUUCAUAGAAAAGAAAAUUAAAAUGGUUUCUAAAUAUGAAAAGAUGUUCAACCUCACCCAUAUAAAAGGGAUACAAUGAGAUACAACCUCCCCUCCCUUUUGGGGGGGACCUACAAAGCUGGCAAAACUAAACUGGCAGGGGUGCGAGGAACAAGACACACUCAAACCUCACACAUCGUUGAUGGGAGUGUAUGUCAGCACGAUCUCUAAAGAAUGCGAUUUGGACAUAUCUAUCAGAGUCUUAAACAUUUUUCCUUCUAGAAAUUUAUCCUAAAAUACACUCGCAUAAAAGGUGUGUAAAAGAAUAUUCAUGGGUACAUAAUAUGAAAAGUUGCUAUAUCUAAUAUUUUACAAAUUAUGGAAUAUGCUUACAACAGAAUACUAAGCGGCUGUAACUGUGAGUGAACUCUGCGUGGCCACAGGAAUGAUUUAUUUCUACUUUGUGAAAAAGUGGGAUGCUUUUUCACAAAGUAGAAACAGUGGGAACAAUGUAUAGGAUGCUGAAAUUGAGUUUAAAGGGUGGGAGAUGCUGUAUAUACACACCCCCCCACACACACGCAGGUGCUUGGACAUGAGCAACACAAAAGAACCGACCACGGUGGCUGCUGCCAGGGACAGAAACUGAAAGAUUGAAGAGCAGGAUGGGAAGAAAGAUUAAAUUUCCACCCCUUUCUACCUUCUGAAUUUUAUCCUGCAUGUGUACGCGACUCAUUCCAAUAAAAAUAAAAAUGUUCGGUUUUAAAACGU